CCUACGGGUGGCAGCAGUGGGGAAUAUUGGGCAAUGGGCGCAAGCCUGACCCAGCAACGCCGCGUGAAGGAAGAAGGCUUUCGGGUUGUAAACUUCUUUUAAGGGGGAAGAGGAGAAGACGGGAACCCGAGAAUAAGGCAAGGCUAACUACGGGGCAGGAGCCGCGGGAAUACGGAGGGGGCAAGCGGUGUCCGGAUUUACUGGGGGGAAAGGGCGUGCAGGCGGAGAGACAAGUCAGAUGGGCAAUCCACGGGCUCAACCCGUGACCUGCAUUUGAAACUGUUUCCCUUGAGUGUCGGAGAGGUAAUCGGAAUUCCUUGUGUAGCGGUGAAAUGCGUAGAUAUACGGAAGAACACCAGUGGCGAAGGCGGAUUACUGGACGAUAACUGACGCUGAGGCGCGAAAGCGUGGGGAGCAAACAGGAUUAGAUACCCUAGUAGUC
rnacentral:rRNA from 1 species